CAACGUGGGUAACCUGCCCAUCAGAGGGGGAUAACAUUCGGAAACGGAUGCUAAAACCGCAUAGGUCUUCGAACCGCAUGGUUUGAAGAGGAAAAGAGGCGCAAGCUCCUGCUGAUGGAUGGACCCGCGGUGCAUUAGCUAGUUGGUGAGGUAACGGCUCACCAAGGCCGUGAUGCAUAGCCGACCUGAGAGGGUGAUCGGCCACAUUGGGACUGAGACACGGCCCAA
rnacentral:rRNA from 1 species